rnacentral:rRNA from 1 species
UCAGGCCUAACACAUGCAAGUCGAGCGGACAGAAGGGAGCUUGCUCCCGGAUGUUAGCGGCGGACGGGUGAGUAACACGUGGGUAACCUGCCUGUAAGACUGGGAUAACUCCGGGAAACCGGAGCUAAUACCGGGUAGUUCCUUGAACCGCAUGGUUCAAGGAUGAAAGACGGUUUCGGCUGUCACUUACAGAUGGACCCGCGGCGCAUUAGCUAGUUGGUGGGGUAAUGGCUCACCAAGGCGACGAUGCGUAGCCGACCUGAGAGGGUGAUCGGCCACACUGGGACUGAGACACGGCCCAGACUCCUACGGGAGGCAGCAGUAGGGAAUCUUCCGCAAUGGACGAAAGUCUGACGGAGCAACGCCGCGUGAGUGAUGAAGGUUUUCGGAUCGUAAAGCUCUGUUGUUAGGGAAGAACAAGUGCGAGAGUAACUGCUCGCACCUUGACGGUACCUAACCAGAAAGCCACGGCUAACCACGUGCCAGCAGCCGCGGUAAUACGUAGGUAGCAAGCGUUGUCCGGAAUUAUUGGGCGUAAAGGGCUCGCAGGCGGUUUCUUAAGUCUGAUGUGAAAGCCCCCGGCUCAACCGGGGAGGGUCAUUGGAAACUGGGAAACUUGAGUGCAGAAGAGGAGAGUGGAAUUCCACGUG